rnacentral:misc_RNA from 1 species
AACGCACAUUGCGCUCGAGGCCCCGGCCGAGAGCAUGCCUGUCUCAGCGUCGGCGCACCCCCUCGCCCUCAAUUCAUUGUUGAAUUGCCAGGAGCGGACGUGGCCGUCUCGGCUUCGAUUUGAAAGAAUGCCGGGUCGGCUGAAGCGCAGGGCUAUUCGGCGGUGGACCCGCAACGAGGGCGCGCCAGCAUGGUAGGUGGCUGUCCAGCCGCAUGCCGCUGUCGCGCUUUCCUCAAUCGAUGGUGAAGCACGCCAAGCCACUUCAACAGAAGUUUCCUUUGGAACCUCCACACACUUCGACCUGAGAUCAGACAAGGCUACCCGCUGAACUUAA